GACGAACGCUGGCGGCGUGCCUAAUACAUGCAAGUCGAACGCAGUGGGGACGGGUGAGUAACACGUGGGUAACCUCCCAUCAGAGGGGAUACCACUUGGAAACAGGCGCUAAACCGAUACUGAUGGAUGAUCCCGCGGUGCAUUAGCUAGUUGGUGAGGUAACGGCUCACCAAGGCCACGAUGCAUCACCGACCUGAGAGGGUGAUCGGCCACACUGGGACUGAGACACGGCCCAGACGCCUACGGGAGGCAGCAGUAGGGAAUCUUGGGCAAUGGGCGAAAGUCUGACCGAGCCAUGCCGCGUGAGUGAAGAAGGUUUUCGGAUCGUAAAACUCUGUCGUUAGAGAAGCGGUAUCUACCCAGAAAGCAACGGCUAACUCCGUGCCAGCAGCCGCGGUAAUUC
rnacentral:rRNA from 1 species